UCUCCCUCCUACCAGCAAUGAAGUGUUUUGGCUGGAAGUGGCCUAUGGGUCUGAUUCAGGGACCAAGUUCUGUCUUGAAAUUGCUGGAAAUGGAAGGAACGGUGGCACUUCAACAUCACUGUCAGGCACAAAGAGCUGGUGAAUGUGCAGAUCAGAAGCUGUCACCUUCAGGACCAUGUAUCUGCAUUAUAAAAGAGACCAAAAGGUGAACACAUGGACACCAUCUACUACCCUGCACCACCUCCUUAUUGAUCUGUGUUGCACUGCGUGAAAUAGGCCAAGCUGUCAUCAAAGGCACCUGGCCUAGCUCCAGGAAGAUGAUGAAUCGGUAGGGAGGCACCUUGAAGCAGCAGGAGAGCAGCAUGAAAACAGGAGAAAACGCAAAGCAUGAGACAGGCUGGAGGACUUGCGCUAUGGCCCUUGAGGUGUGUGGAGAGCGGGCUGCUGCACCAGCAUGCAGGGAAGGUAA